rnacentral:rRNA from 1 species
GAGGGGCAGCGUGAAGGAAGCUUGCUUUGAUUGUUGGCGACUGGCGCACGGGUGAGUAACGCGUAUCCAACCUUCCCUAUACUAGAGGAUAGCCCGGCGAAAGUAGGAUUAAUACUAUAUGUUGUAUUUAGAAGACAUCUGAAGAAUACCAAAGAUUUAUCGGUAUAGGAUGGGGAUGCGUCUGAUUAGGUUGUUGGCGGGGUAACGGCCCACCAAGCCCACGAUCAGUAGGGGUUCGAGAGGAAGGUCCCCCACAUUGGAAUUGAGACACGGUCCAAACUCCUACGGGAGGCAGCAGUGAGGAAUAUUGGUCAAUGGCCGAGAGUCUGAACCAGCCAAGUAGCGUGCAGGAUGACGGCCCUAUGGGUUGUAAACUGCUUUUAUAUAGGCAUAAAGUCGGGGAUGUGUCCCCGUUUGUAGGUACUAUAUGAAUAAGGACCGGCUAAUUCCGUGCCAGCAGCCGCGGUAAUACGGAAGGUCCGGGCGUUAUCCGGAUUUAUUGGGUUUAAAGGGAGCGCAGGCUGACGAUUAAGUGUGACGUGAAACGUAGCCGCUCAACGGCUGAACUGCGUCGCGAACUGGUUAUCUUGAGUGAGUUAGAUGUAAGCGGAAUUC